rnacentral:rRNA from 12 species
UGCUGACAAGCAGUUGACGCUUAAUAAAGUAACAGCGUACCUUUUGCAUAAUGGAUCAAUGAGUUUAUUUUAGUGGCGAGCUUAAAAUUAAUAUUUUUGUAGGCGAAAAGAAAUUAAGUUUUAAAUUACUGUUAAGUCUCUAAAAUAAGACCCGAAACUAAGUGAUCUAACCAUGAACAGGUUGAAUUUAUGGCGGUAACGCAUAUUGGAGGACCGAACCCGUGUAUGUGGAAAAAUACUGGGAUGAUUUGUGGUUAGGGGUGAAAGGCCAAUCAAACUUAGAGAUAGCUGGUUUUCUGCGAAAUCUAUUUAAGUAGAGCGUUUAAAUUUAUCUUUAUUCGAUGGUAGAGCACUCAAUAAAUAAAGGGGGCGUAAAGCUUUACUAAAUUUAAGGAAACUCCGAAUGUUGAAUAAACGAAAUUAAACAGACAGACUUUGAGUGCUAAGAUUCAUAGUCAAGAGGGAAACAGCCCAGACUAUUCGUUAAGGUCCUUAAAAAUAAUUAAGUGAGAAAGACUUAGAAACAUUUUAACAACUUGUAGGUAGGCUUGGAAGCAGCCAUCCUUUAAAGAAAGCGUAAUAGCUCACUAGUCGAGUCGGUCUGCGCGGAAGAUGUAACGGGGCUAAACUAUGCACCGAAGCUGCGGAUUCAGAAUUUAUUCUGAGUGGUAGGGGAGCGUUCUGUAAGCCGUUGAAGGUGAGUUGUAAAGCUUGCUGGAGGUAUCAGAAGUGCGAAUGCUGACAUGAGUAACGAUAAUGGGAGUGAAAAACUCCCACGCCGGAAGACCAAGGGUUCCUAUCCCAUGUUAAUCAGGGUAGGGUAAGUCGACCCCUAAGGCGAGGC